rnacentral:rRNA from 1 species
UACGGAGGGUGCAAGCGUUGUUCGGAAUCACUGGGCGUAAAGGGCACGCAGGCGGCCCCUCAAGUCGGGCGUGAAAGCCCACGGCUCAACCGUGGAACUGCGUCCGAUACUGUCGGGCUUGAGUACGGGAGAGGGAAGUGGAAUUCCAGGUGUAGAGGUGAAAUUCGUAGAUAUCUGGAAGAACACCGGUGGCGAAAGCGGCUUCCUGGCCCAGUACUGACGCUCAUGUGCGAAAGCUAGGGGAGCAAACAGG